GACGAACGCUGGCGGCGUGCUUAACACAUGCAAGUCGAACGAUGAAGCGGUGCUUGCACCGUGGAUUAGUGGCGAACGGGUGAGUAAUACGUGAGUGACCUACCUUUGACUCUGGGAUAAGCCUGGGAAACUGGGUCUAAUACCGGAUACGACCAAUCUCUGCAUGGGGUGUUGGUGGAAAGCGUUAUGGAGUGGUUUUAGAUGGGCUCACGGCCUAUCAGCUUGUUGGUGAGGUAAUGGCUUACCAAGGCGACGACGGGUAGCCGGCCUGAGAGGGUGAACGGCCACAAUGGGACUGAGACACGGCCCAGACGCCUACGGGAGGCAGCAGUGGGGAAUAUUGCACAAUGGGCGCAAGCCUGAUGCAGCGACGCCGCGUGAGGGAUGACGGCCUUCGGGUUGUAAACCUCUGUUAGCAUCGAAGAAGCGAAAGUGACGGUAGGUGCAGAGAAAGCGCCGGCUAACUACGUG
rnacentral:rRNA from 1 species